AGAGUGUGCACGCGAGCAAGCUUGGGGGAGAGGCAGAGAGACACCGGGACAGAUGAUCCAAAGCAGGCUCUGUGCUAACAGAAGACAGCCUGAUGCAGAGCUCGAGCACAGGAGUCAUGAAAUCAUGACCUGAGCCAAAGUCAGAUGCUUAACCGACUGAGCCACGCAGGAGCCCCAAUGAAAAAGAGAUUUUUAAUUCCUGAUUCGUGGAGCGUGGCUGGAGGUUGCUCAUGCUUGAAGAAACCAGCCCUCAUGUUAUGGUGGUACUCGGGCAACUCAAGAAGAGGAACUGAAGCUUCCUUCCAACAGCACCAGGGGAGUUGAAUUUUCUCUCUCUCUGCUACUACAAGGGCCUUAAGGAGAAAGACACCAACGCCCAGCCCAGUUUUGACCACUGGAAAUUAUAUAACCUGUUGUCUAUGUCACACACCACUGAGUUUAGCAUCUGGGCAACGAGUUAGCUGCACCACGGGUGAGAUAAACCUUUUAAUCUAUGUACAAAGUAAGAAUCUUUUUGGCCACAGCUUUAUAACCUCUGGUGCUUUGGACUUACAAAUAAAUCACUCAUAAAAUAGAAAAUCUGGCAGAAAAUUUGGGACACUAAAAUAGCCUGCAAAUUAUUUAAUUUUAGAAAUUCAAUAACUGCUAUCAAACACACAUGAUGAAGAUGAAUGUAUCUCUUGCAAUUUUCACAGUUUGGCACACCAGAGAAUACCUGCAAGGCAAGGUCACCAGAGCUGGGAUUGUGUUCACACUUUUGAAAUUAAGUCCUUGAUAAAGAAAAUAUCUUCACUCAAAAUUGAAACAUACAUUCACAAACAAGAAUCAACACUCAAUAAAGUACUGCUUCUGACUGAACAAUUCCUGAUAGUACUCAAUGCAAGUCAAUGCCAAAAGAAUGCAUGUCACAUUACUUACUGCAGAAAAAUUGCUAUGUUAUGUAAUUACAUUCUUUUUAUAUUCACUAGUUUUGUUUAAUGUUUAUUAUUAUUUAUCACCCUAAGUUUCAGCCUUGGCAUACACAUUCUCACUGUGAAGACAGUGAGUCAUUUGUUAUUUUGUUCUGACCAAAAAUAAACAUACUACAGAUUUGCAAUAAAAAUUAUAACUGUUUUGCAUGCUAGCAUGAAAGGGAUGUUUGCAACCAAAGCAUGAUGUUCCAAAAAAAAUUAUUUAAAUUCUGGCACAGAGGGCAAGUUGAAUUUCUUUUCUCAGCAAAGUCUCAAGUGGAAAACAAAUAUUUGCCCUAUCUCUGGAGUGAACUUUGAUUCUGUUUGUUUAAAAGGAAAGGGGAGUCACAUGAUGAGAAUUAUGUGAAGUAAAAUUUUAUACGGCAUCCGUUUGAAAUCUUUUCCCCCUUAACCACCCCCAACUGAAAUUUUAAUUCAAAUCGGUGGAGGUGAACUGCCAGUUGGCCUGACACCCUCUGUGGCAUGACUCUUGAAUCUACUUUUUCGAUUUUUGUGCAUCCUUUAUGGAGGGGAUUGUGAUGAAGAGAUAUUUUAAAUACAGCAUGCUAACAAAAAGUUUUAGGGGUAGUGAGGUCAACAGAUCAGGAAAACAACUGCUGUUGAAAAUAAUAAUAAAACAGUACUCACAGUUGCCAAGAGGAGAGGGCACAGCAUGCCACAGGAAGCCCCACGGAUGAGCAGGGACGGGGAGGUCUGCCAGGGGGGC